rnacentral:tRNA from 1 species
GUGGUGGCUCAGUGGUAGAGCACUUGCCUAGCAUGUGUGAGGCCCUGGGUUCGACUCUCAGCACCACA